rnacentral:lncRNA from 1 species
AGCUAAAGAUAUUAAAUAGCUAUAGAAUUUUAAAUUGGAGGUCCUUAUAUAGUAAUUAGCCAUUAAAGUUGUUAUUGGAUAAGCAUGAAUAGUCAUCAUUGGAAACUGAAUGAAAUAUUAAGGUUAAUUUUUGAAAUUACUGAUUAAAGUUAAAAUAAAUUAAACAAAAUAAACUAUUAUCAUCCAUUCUCAUCAUCUUCCACCAAAAUUUAAAAAAAAAAAAAAAAACCUAGCCAUG